rnacentral:rRNA from 1 species
CACGCAGGCGGUUUGUUAAGUCAGAUGUGAGAUCCCCGGGCUCAACCUGGGAACUGCAUCUGAUACUGGCAAGCUUGAGUCUCGUAGAGGGGGGUAGAAUUCCAGGUGUAGCGGUGAAAUGCGUAGAGAUCUGGAGGAAUACCGGUGGCGAAGGCGGCCCCCUGGACAAAGACUGACGCUCAGGUGCGAAAGCGUGGGGAGCAAACA